rnacentral:rRNA from 1 species
GUGGGGAAUCUUGCGCAAUGGCCGCAAGGCUGACGCAGCGACGCCGCGUGUGGGAGGACGCCUUUCGGGGUGUAAACCACUGUUGCCCGGGACGAACAGCUUCUUUCGAGGAGCCUGACGGUACCGGGUGAGGAAGCACCGGCUAACUCCGUGCCAGCAGCCGCGGUAAUACGGAGGGUGCGAGCGUUGUCCGGAAUCAUUGGGCGUAAAGGGCGCGUAGGUGGCGGGACAAGCGUGCGGUGAAAGCUCGGGGCUCAACCCCGCGUCGGCCGUGCGAACUGUUUUGCUGGAGCACUGUAGAGGCAGGCGGAAUUCCGGGUGUAGCGGUGGAAUGCGUAGAGAUCCGGAAGAACACCGGUGGCGAAGGCGGCCUGCUGGGCAGUUGCUGACACUGAGGCGCGACAGCGUGGGGAGCAAACAGGAUUAGAUACCCUUGUAGUCC